GUACUCAUUUUGGCAGCACAUAUACUAAAAUUGAAAUAGAACAGAAAAAAAUUAGCUUGGUCCCUAUGAAAGGAUGUCAUGCAAAUUUAUGAAAUGUUUCAAUUUUCU